CCUACGGGUGGCAGCAGUGAGGAAUAUUGGUCAAUGGGCGAGAGCCUGAACCAGCCAAGUCGCGUGAGGGAGUACUGCCCUAUGGGUUGUAAACCUCUUUUGUCGGGGAGCAAAAGCCGGACGUGUCCGGCUGUGAGAGUACCCGAAGAAAAAGCAUCGGCUAACUCCGUGCCAGCAGCCGCGGUAAUACGGAGGAUGCGAGCGUUAUCUGAAUUUGUGGGGGUUAAAGGGUGCGCAGGCGGAUUUUUAAGUUAGCGGUCAAAUCGUGGGGCUCAACCCCAUCCAGCCGGUGAAACUGGGGGGCUAGAGUGUGCGAGAGGUAGGCGGAAUGCGUGGUGUAGCGGUGAAAUGCAUAGAGAUCACGCAGAACCCCGAUUGCGAAGGCAGCAUACCGGUGCACAACUGACGCUCAGGCGCGAAAGCGUGGGUAUCGAACAGGAUUAGAUACCCUAGUAGUC
rnacentral:rRNA from 1 species